rnacentral:rRNA from 1 species
UAGGGAAUCUUCCGCAAUGGGCGAAAGCCUGACGGAGCAACGCCGCGUGAGUGAUGAAGGUCUUCGGAUCGUAAAACUCUGUUAUUAGGGAAGAACAAAUGUGUAAGUAACUAUGCACGUCUUGACGGUACCUAAUCAGAAAGCCACGGCUAACUACGUGCCAGCAGCCGCGGUAAUACGUAGGUGGCAAGCGUUAUCCGGAAUUAUUGGGCGUAAAGCGCGCGUAGGCGGUUUUUUAAGUCUGAUGUGAAAGCCCACGGCUCAACCGUGGAGGGUCAUUGGAAACUGGAGAACUUGAGUGCAGAAGAGGAAAGUGGAAUUCCAUGUGUAGCGGUGAAAUGCGCAGAGAUAUGGGGGAACACCAGUGGCGAAGGCGACUUUCUGGUCUGUAACUGACGCUGAUGUGCGAAAGCGUGGGGAUCAAACAGG